rnacentral:rRNA from 2 species
GGGGAAUAUUGCGCAAUGGGGGAAACCCUGACGCAGCAAUACCGCGUGAGUGAAGAAGGUUUUCGGAUCGUAAAGCUCUGUUAUUGGGGAAGAAAAAAAGACGGUACCCAAGAAGAAAGUCCCGGCUAACUACGUGCCAGCAGCCGCGGUAAUACGUAGGUGGCAAGCGUUGUCCGGAUUUACUGGGUGUAAAGGGCGUGUAGGCGGCUCUGCAAGUCAGGUGUGAAAACUAUGGGCUUAACUCAUAGAUUGCACUUGAAACUGUGGAGCUUGAGUGAAGUAGAGGCAGGCGGAAUUCCCGGUGUAGCGGUGAAAUGCGUAGAGAUCGGGAGGAACACCAGUGGCGAAGGCGGCCUGCUGGGCUUUAACUGACGCUGAGGCACGAAAGCAUGGGUAGCAAACA